UUUAUGAAUUCGUUCUACUAAGCCUUCUAGAAGGAAAAACAUCUCUUCCUACAUCUAGGCCUGGUAGCUUCUUUUAUCUGCUCAUGGAAGUGAUAAUGAGGAUUCACCCUCCUGGAGGAGCCUGGACAGAGGCUGCUCGGAACUUCUACCUCCUCAUUAAGGGCCAGAUGAAGGCGUGGCUGGACUCCAUCUUCAACCUCGAUGAGUCCAUCUAUGAAAGCCCACAGAUGCUCUCGGGGCAGGUGAUGGGGAAUCUAGAAAUGCAGGUUGAGUUCCUCCUGUCCAGCCUGGAUUAAGGGUCCCAAACUGAGCUGAGGAUCACUAACACAAAAUAAAGUUUUUUGCAUUUAAACAUUAUCUGUCAAUCGUAAACUAACUUUACAUAAUGUGUGGGGGAGAGUGGGGUAAGUUGAGCCAUUU